ACGCACGCUGGCGGCGUGCUUAACACAUGCAAGUCGAACGGAAAGGCCCUGCUUUUGUGGGGUGCUCGAGUGGCGAACGGGUGAGUAACACGUGAGUAACCUGCCCUUGACUUUGGGAUAACUUCAGGAAACUGGGGCUAAUACCGGAUAGGAGCUCCUGCUGCAUGGUGGGGGUUGGAAAGUUUCGGCGGUUGGGGAUGGACUCGCGGCUUAUCAGCUUGUUGGUGGGGUAGUGGCUUACCAAGGCUUUGACGGGUAGCCGGCCUGAGAGGGUGACCGGCCACAUUGGGACUGAGAUACGGCCCAGACUCCUACGGGAGGCAGCAGUGGGGAAUAUUGCACAAUGGGCGGAAGCCUGAUGCAGCAACGCCGCGUGCGGGAUGACGGCCUUCGGGUUGUAAACCGCUUUCGCCUGUGACGAAGCGUGAGUGACGGUAAUGGGUAAAGAGGCACCGGCUAACUACGUG
rnacentral:rRNA from 1 species